CAUGAGUAUUACUCUCUCUGUCCCAUUUUAAGUGUAGUUCAUCCGUCUUAUUUAAUUUUUUUAUAAUUAGUAUUUUUAUUGUUAUUAGAUGAUAAAACAUAAAUAAUAUUUUAUAUGUGACUUAUUUUUUUAAAAAAAAAGUUAAAUAAGACGGACGAUCAAACAUUGAGGACAGACACCCACAACUGCACUUAAA
rfam:Oryza sativa Japonica Group DNA, chromosome 1, cultivar: Nipponbare, complete sequence.